rnacentral:rRNA from 1 species
UACCAGCACCCCGAGUGGUCGGGACGUUUAUUGGGCCUAAAGCAUCCGUAGCCGGUUCUACAAGUCUUCCGUUAAAUCCACCUGCUUAACAGAUGGGCUGCGGAAGAUACUAUAGAGCUAGGAGGCGGGAGAGGCAAGCGGUACUCGAUGGGUAGGGGUAAAAUCCGUUGAUCCAUUGAAGAACACCGGUGGCGAAGGCGGCCCACUGGAUCGGUACUGACGCUGAGGUGCGAAAGCGUGGGGAGCAAACAGG